rnacentral:tRNA from 1 species
GCCGGAGUGGUGGAAUGGCAGACACAAGGGACUUAAAAUCCCUCGGGUGUAUAACCCGUACCGGUUCGAGUCCGGUCUCCGGCACCA